UGGGCCCGCGGCCUAUCAGCUUGUUGGUGGGGUAACGGCCUACCAAGGCGACGACGGGUAGCCGGCCUGAGAGGGUGUCCGGCCACACUGGGACUGAGAUACGGCCCAGACUCCUACGGGAGGCAGCAGUGGGGAAUAUUGCACAAUGGGCGCAAGCCUGAUGCAGCGACGCCGCGUGGGGGAUGACGGCCUUCGGGUUGUAAACCUCUUUCACUAUCGACGAAGGUUCGGGUUUUCUCGGAUUGACGGUAGAUGGAGAAGAAGCACCGGCCAACUACGUGCCAGCAGCCGCGGUAAUACGUAGGGUGCGAGCGUUGUCCGGAAUUACUGGGCGUAAAGAGCUCGUAGGUGGUUUGUCGCGUUGUUCGUGAAAUCUCACGGCUUAACUGUGAGCGUGCGGGCGAUACGGGCAGACUAGAGUACUGCAGGGGAGAUUGGAAUUCCUGGUGUAGCGGUGGAAUGCGCAGAUAUCAGGAGGAACACCGGUGGCGAAGGCGGGUCUCUGGGCAGUAACUGACGCUGAGGAGCGAAAGCGUGGGGAGCGAACAGGAUUAGAUACCCUGGUAGUCCACGCCGUAAACGGUGGGUACUAGGUGUGGGUUUCCUUCCUUGGGAUCCGUGCCGUAGCUAACGCAUUAAGUACCCCGCCUGGGGAGUACGGCCGCAAGGCUAAAACUC
rnacentral:rRNA from 1 species